UUAGUUUGUUACAGCAUUACUUAUUUUAUUAAGUACAAACUAAUUAUUAAUGUUAUUAUAUUAUAUUUUUUGGUUUGAAUUACAUCAUACAUGUGUUAUUGGUAGUUUUUGUACUCAAUAAUUAAUAUGGAUAACAUUACACCAUUAUUUAUCAAUGAAGAUGAAAUGGCAAGUUUCUUAUUCUUAAAACUAUUGUACCUAAAAUCUAAUGACUAAUAUUAUUUGAUAUUUUACUUUUUCACAUUACAAUAUAAGUGAAAAUACUGUGACAAUAAAAAUAUGUUAUUAGAUUUUAAUUGUAUGGUAAUUUUAAGUAAUUUAUUGCAGCUAUUGUAGUUUAUUUAUUUAUUAUGAUUUUAUUUCAAUAAAUUAUUGUUAAUUUUUUUGAACAAUAUUUGUCAUCGGGUGGUGAAACUGAAAGUAUACUGGAUACAUAUGAAUAUGGGACUAUAAGUAGCUAUGAAUAUAAUUAAGAAGAUGAAAGUAUAACGUAUGACAGUGAUAAAGACCCUGAGUUUAUACCUGCAGCUAUUAUAUCAAGUUCAAGUUCUGAUGAACCAUCAAAUACUGCAACCCUCACUAUUAAAAUAGUUAAAGAAGAGGACAAAAUAAUACUCAAACAGGAUUUACAAAACAAGAUUACAUUAAAUAUAUCCGAUUAUAAAAUGCUUAAUUCAGGCAAAUAUGUCAAUGAUAAGUUAAUAGAAUUUUAUUUGAAGUAAAAUGAGUACCAUGUAAAUCUAUAUCUACACCAAUACAGUUAAGACAUGACCAAGUGAAAAGAUGGACUAAAAUAGUAGACACAUUUGAAAAAGAUUUUGUUUUCUUUCCAAUAAAUCAAAAUAAUCAUUGGUUUAUGGCUGUUAUAUGCUAUCCUUACCUAUCAGGUAAAGUUAAUAUUUUUAUAAACCAUUUUCUUCAGAAGUAGUUAAUCGUAUGUAAGCAGUUUCUUAUUGUAUAUAUAUCUAUAUGUAUGUACCCAAGUAGAAAAAUAUAGUCAUUGUGAUUAUUGAUUUGUGAUUAACUAAAAUAAUUAACUAUCAACAUU